rnacentral:lncRNA from 1 species
GGCUUGGAAAGUAUCUGUUAGAACUCCUGAGUUAGUGCUGCUUUUUCUUUCUAUGGUGAUUUUCUCUCAAUACUAGAUACAACAUGCUUGGUUUUUUUUGUUUUUUUUUUGUUUUUUCCUCAAAAUUAACAUCUAGAUUUAAAAGAAGUAUACUAUCUAGGACAUUUACUUACUCACGUUAGGUUUAUUAUAUGGUCUAUGUUGACCAAGGGCAGUGGCUUAUAAUUGUACUUCCAGCACGAAGGCAGGAGGAUUGCAUGUUUGAAGGUAGACUGCGCUAUAUAAUGAGACCCCUUCUAAAAUAACGAUAGCUAACUGUAUAUUGUUUGACAGAAUAGUUUAAUAUGUUUAGACAAGUGUAUAAUAUCCCAUGACAAGAUAAGAGCUAGACAUCACUUGUUCUAUAAUUCAUGGAUUUGUUUGAUACAUUUUUGUACUGAUAGUCUUCAAGACUAGUUUUAUUUAAUAUUCAUUUUUUGUCAAUAUUUAUUUUAUUCAUUGAUUAUUUUUAAAAUAACAAAAAAAUUGGGUGGUAUUCUGCUGGGUAAUUUGUUCAAACUGAUAGUAUUUUUAAUGUGAGUGUCAUAAAUUGGCUAAAAGGCAGUUUCAAGAGAAAAGGUCUAAAUUUUACAUUGGAGGAAUAAAUAUGUAGCUUCCAAAAUAAAAACAAACAAACAAACAAACAUAAAAAACUGGCUAAAGGUAGUGUCUGGAGUGCCAGCUACUCGAGGGACACUUGUGUUAGGCAGUUUGAGACCAUAAAUGAGAAAAGUCAGGCACUUAUC